rnacentral:rRNA from 1 species
GACGUAGGGCGCGAGCGUUGUCCGGAUUUAUUGGGCGUAAAGAGCUCGUAGGCGGCUUGUCGCGUCGACUGUGAAAACCCGCGGCUCAACUGCGGGCCUGCAGCCGAUACGGGCAGGCUAGAGUUCGGUAGGGGAGACUGGAAUUCCUGGUGUAGCGGUGAAAUGCGUAGAGAUCCGGAGGAACACCGAAGGCGAAGGCAGUCUCCUGGCAAGUUACUGACGCUCAGGUGCGAAAGCUAGGGGAGCGAACAGG